rnacentral:rRNA from 1 species
UACGAAGGGUGCAAGCGUUGUUCGGAAUUACUGGGCGUAAAGCGCGCGUAGGCGGGCUUGUGUGUCGAUUGUGAAAGCCCUGGGCUUAACCUGGGAAUGGCAGUCGAAACUGCAAGUCUUGAAUGUCUGAGAGGAUGGCGGAAUUCCCGGUGUAGUAGUGAAAUACGUAGAUAUCGGGAAGAACACCUGAGGCGAAGGCGGCUAUCUGGCGGUACAUUGACGCUGAUGCGCGAAAGCGUGGGGAGCAAACAGG